GAUUCUGAAGUGUGAGGUGGACAGUCUCUGCCUACAGCAAAAUGGGGGGUGGGGGAGCUGGCGCCUGGAUGGAGAAAGCUGGACUUCUCCAUCUCAAGAGUGCGUGGUGGCGGGAAGGCAGGGGUGGGGAUGGAGGAGGAGCGUGUAGGGAGGGGGGCCACAGGAAGAGCUGGAAGGUCUUCUUUUGCUCUCCUCCCGAGCUAAGCAGGUAGAGGAGGCUGAGGUGACGCCAACAGCACUCGGCCUGAAACUCGCCUUCUCUCUCUGUGAAUUGUCCUCACGUUCCUUUAGACUGACGUAGAAAUUGCUCAGCGCCUGUGAUCAGCCCCUGGUGACAGAGUCUCGCCCCUGGUGACAGAAUCUCACCCCUGGAGAGUAGGGGGAAGGCUGCAGCAGACCCUGUGGUGGCCUCCCCAUCAGCGGGUCCCUCCUCCCUGCCCAGCAGUGGACCAGGGGGGCCUGGCUGCCAGGCCCUGCACACCCACUGAUGGUGAUGGGACUGCCCGUCCCCUCAGGCUUUACCAGUGAAGGGCUCUCUGGCCAACCCCUGCCUCUUAGCAUCUCCACCCCUUUGCCCAAGGGUUUCCUCCAGGAGCCCAAGCAGGCAGCAAGUGCCAGAAAACUGAUGCUUCUUUGGGAAGAGCCUUCAACCAGUGAUGGUGGGUUUGGUGUAUAAAUACCUCAGCUCCCUCAGAGGCAGGAUUGAGCACCAGCGACACGCAGUGGUAACCGAUUUGAUAACAAACCCUUUAUUGGUCACAUCCCCCCCACCCCAACCCCGAGUCUCACUCCUCUUCUCCUGAUGAUUGCUGGAAUCCCCUCCUGAACAAACCUACUUGCACGCGAAGCCUUGUCUAGGGCUUGUUUCUGGAAAAGUCAACCUUAGACCACAUGCAACCCAAUCUGGACAAAGAUCUCAGCCUCUCCUGUCCUGCAGCAGGAAAUCACUAUUUGGACUGCAGAGGUGCCUCUUCCUGCCUCAGCCCCCGUGGAGGGGAGCGGGCCAGGGAGGGGGCCUUCCUGCCCACCUGGACCAGACCUUGAGUUGGUCAGGAGCACCCCCAACCCUGGUUCUCCCAGCCACCCUCAAGUUCCUUGAACCCUAGCCCUGAGAAAUGAAUGGAUGGGAUUCAGCGGAGCUGGGCACCUGGAUCAUGGCAGCUCAUCCCUGGGGAAGCUCCAGGCCCCUCUUCAAUGUGCUGAUAAGGAAGAGCCGCCAAGGCAAAAUGGUCAAGUGAUAAAAACUGCAAUGUGCGGGGAGAUGCUGACAUUUUUAUAAAUAAAAAGGAAAACGAUCCAGAAUCCGUCCGGGCCUCUCCACCCUUCGUUCCUGGAAGCAGCGCCCACCAGUUUCCCAGGAGGUCUCCAUCUUUCAAGGCCUUCUUCAGCCACGUCUUCUCAGGACAAUCCAAGGCCAACCACGAGAUGUCCUCUCACUCACCCUGAACCCGUCCUGGAUUCCCCCAGGUCCAGGACCCGGUGGAGGGGGGCUUGGUCCAGACAGCCCUCCCCAGGCUCAGCCACAGUGCUCAGGUCUUCCCCGGUCCAACCCCCAACCCCUACCCCACACCACAGGGCCUCGAGGCUCCCACCAGUCCUGACAGCUUUCUUUGAUCUCAGGCCCCCUGGCAAUCAGGGGGGUCAACUGCAGCUGGGCCGUGUGAAACCCACCCAGGCCACAAAUGCGUCCCACUGCCAUGCUGGUUACCCCCUCCCCAGGCACGGCUCAGCCACUGACAUAGGCGUCACCCUAUGCCUUGGAGCCAUCAUGGCUUCGAGAAACUGGAGUCAGCAGGAGAUUAAUUAAUCAAAACCUGAACACAUCUGCUGUUAAUUAAUUCUAUGCCAAGGGUUAACUCUUCCCUGUCUGGGCUUCUCCUUCCCUUUGGCCGGAAGAGGGAAAUAAAGGUGGGGAGUGGGUA